UGUUUCGGCAAGGGGGUCAUCCCGACUUACCAACCCGAUGCAAACUGCGAAUACCGGAGAAUGUUAUCACGGGAGACACACGGCGGGUGCUAACGUCCGUCGUGAAGAGGGAAACAACCCAGACCGCCAGCUAAGGUCCCAAAGUCAUGGUUAAGUGGGAAACGAUGUGGGAAGGCCCAGACAGCCAGGAUGUUGGCUUAGAAGCAGCCAUCAUUUAAAGAAAGCGUAAUAGCUCACUGGUCGAGUCGGCCUGCGCGGAAGAUGUAACGGGGCUAAACCAUGCACCGAAGCUGCGGCAGCGACGCUGAUGCGUUGUUGGGUAGGGGAGCGUUCUGUAAGCCUGUGAAGGUGUGCUGUGAGGCAUGCUGGAGGUAUCAGAAGUGCGAAUGCUGACAUAAGUAACGAUAAAGCGGGUGAAAAGCCCGCUCGCCGGAAGACCAAGGGUUCCUGUCCAACGUUAAUCGGGGCAGGGUGAGUCGACCCCUAAGGCGAGGCCGAAAGGCGUAGUCGAUGGGAAACAGGUUAAUAUUCCUGUACUUGGUGUUACUGCGAAGGGGGGACGGAGAAGGCUAUGUUGGCCGGGCGACGGUUGUCCCGGUUUAAGCGUGUAGGCUGGUUUUCCAGGCAAAUCCGGAAAAUCAAGGCUGAGGCGUGAUGACGAAGCACUACGGUGCUGAAGCAACAAAUGCCCUGCUUCCAGGAAAAGCCUCUAAGCAUCAGGUAACAUCAAAUCGUACCCCAAACCGACACAGGUGGUCAGGUAGAGAAUACCAAGGCGCUUGAGAGAACUCGGGUGAAGGAACUAGGCAAAAUGGUGCCGUAACUUCGGGAGAA
rnacentral:rRNA from 1 species